rnacentral:rRNA from 1 species
CCGGUUUAAGCGUGUAGGCUGGUUUUCCAGGCAAAUCCGGAAAAUCAAGGCUGAGGCGUGAUGACGAGGCACUACGGUGCUGAAGCAACAAAUGCCCUGCUUCCAGGAAAAGCCUCUAAGCAUCAGGUAACAUCAAAUCGUACCCCAAACCGACACAGGUGGUCAGGUAGAGAAUACCAAGGCGCUUGAGAGAACUCGGGUGAAGGAACUAGGCAAAAUGGUGCCGUAACUUCGGGAGAAGGCACGCUGAUAUGUAGGUGAAGCGACUUGCUCGUGGAGCUGAAAUCAGUCGAAGAUACCAGCUGGCUGCAACUGUUUAUUAAAAACACAGCACUGUGCGAACACGAAAGUGGACGUAUACGGUGUGACGCCUGCCCCGUGCCGGAAGGUUAAUUGAUGGGGUCAGCGCAAGCGAAGCUCUUGAUCGAAGCCCCGGUAAACGGCGGCCGUAACAAUAACGGUCCUAAGGUAGCGAAAUUCCUUGUCGGGUAAGUUCCGACCUGCACGAAUGGCGUAAUGAUGGCCAGGCUGUCUCCACCCGAGACUCAGUGAAAUUGAACUCGCUGUGAAGAUGCAGUGUACCCGCGGCAAGACGGAAAGACCCCGUGAACCUUUACUAUAGCUUGACACUGAACAUUGAGCCUUGAUGUGUAGGAUAGGUGGGAGGCUUUGAAGUGUGGACGCCAGUCUGCAUGGAGCCGACCUUGAAAUACCACCCUUUAAUGUUUGAUGUUCUAACGUGGACCCGUGAUCCGGGUUGCGGACAGUGUCUGGUGGGUAGUUUGACUGGGGCGGUCUCCUCCUAAAGAGUAGCGGAGGAGCACGAAGGUUGGCUAAUCCUGGUCGGACAUCAGGAGGUUAGUGCAAUGGCAUAAGCCAGCUUGACUGCGAGCGUGACGGCGCGAGCAGGUGCGAAAGCAGGUCAUAGUGAUCCGGUGGUUCUGAAUGGAAGGGCCAUCGCUCAACGGAUAAAAGGUACUCCGGGGAUAACAGGCUGAUACCGCCCAAGAGUUCAUAUCGACGGCGGUGUUUGGCACCUCGAUGUCGGCUCAUCACAUCCUGGAGCUGAAGUAGGUCCCAAGGGUAUGGCUGUUCGCCAUUUAAAGUGGUACGCGAGCUGGGUUUAGAACGUCGUGAGACAGUUCGGUCCCUAUCUGCCGUGGGCGCUGGAGAACUGAGGGGGGCUGCUCCUAGUACGAGAGGACCGGAGUGGACGCAUCACUGGUGUUCGGGUUGUCGUGCCAAUGGCACUGCCCGGUAGCUAAAUGCGGAAGAGAUAAGUGCUGAAAGCAUCUAAGCACGAAACUUGCCCCGAGAUGAGUUCUCCCUGACUCCUUGAGAGUCCUGAAGGAACGUUGAAGACGACGACGUUGAUAGGCCGGGUGUGUAAGCGCAGCGAUGCGUUGAGCUAACCGGUACUAAUGAACCGUGAGGCUUAACCUU